AAUGAUAUUGUUUAAAUGAAAUGUGGAUUGAUAUGUUAAAAGCUAUUUAUAUAACUAUGUAUUGAGAUAUUUUUUAAACAAAACAAAUAUGAUAGAUUGUGAAAUUGAAAUAAUGGUAUAUGGAAAAUAUAAGCUUGGACAAUAUUAUGUUCAUAUAAUUCAAAUUUUUCAUUUUUGUAUCAUUAUAUUCUUAAUUGUUCGGAUUAUAGAAAUAUCACUGAGUUUUACUCAGUGUAUGGUUUUGUUUUCCG
rnacentral:lncRNA from 1 species